rnacentral:rRNA from 1 species
UUUUCGAGCUGCCUGUGUGGCUGCAGACAGAGAGCUAAGCCUGUGCGCCUGCGCUUAAUUGCGCGGCUGCGGGUGGCGUUCUUGCUAUUGGCUGUAGUUUGCGCGGUGGUUUUGAUUUCAUUUCACACUGUGAAGAUUUUUUCAUACUUUACUUCUUUGGGCUGCAAGGCCCAGAGGUUAUAAACACAAACAACUUUUUUUUUUAUUACAAACAAUCAAGAAAUUUCUAUUGAAAUAAAAUAUUUUAAAACUUUCAACAACGGAUCUCUUGGUUCUCGCAUCGAUGAAGAACGUAGCGAAUUGCGAUAAGUAAUGUGAAUUGCAAAUUCUCGUGAAUCAUUGAAUUUUUGAACGCACAUUGCGCCCUCUGGUAUUCCAAAGGGCAUGCCUGUUUGAGCGUCAUUUCCUUCUCAAAAACCCAGUUUUUGGUUGUGAGUGAUACUCUGUUACAGGGUUAACUUGAAAAUGCUAUGCCCAUUUGGCUGCCCCUUCUCUGAGGGGACUGCGCGUCUGUGCAGGAUGUAACCAAUGUAUUUAGGUAUUCAUACCAACUUUCAUUGUGCGCGUCUUCUGCAGUUGUAGUCCACCCAACCUUGGACACACUGGGCUGGCUGGGCCAACAGUAUUCAUAAAGUUUGACCUCAAAUCAGGUAGGAGUACCCGCUGAACUUAAGCAUAUCAAUAA